GCGCUGGUAGUCCAGUCUGGUUAAGACGCAGAACAUAGCCGGCUGAAACGCGGGUUCAAAUCCCGCCCAGCGCA
rnacentral:tRNA from 1 species